ACAACUUCAGCUGAGGAACUUGGCACGGCCAGCUUGGGACCCAGGACCCUAACGCAGAGGCGCUGUGUUUGGAAGUCCCGCUAUCACGGCCCCCCAGAUGGGGCCUGGACGAUGCCUCCUGACGGCCUUGUUGCUUCUGGCCCUGGCGCCACCGCCGGAAGCCUCCCAGUACUGCGGCCGCCUUGAAUACUGGAACCCAGACAACAAGUGCUGCAGCAGCUGCCUGCAACGCUUCGGGCCGCCCCCCUGCCCGGGUGAGAAUCCGAGACCGAGCCUUGCUUGGGCGGAGCUUGCAGGUGAUAGGGAGCGGGGAAGGGGCGAGGUCUGUGGGCUACGGGCCAGAGAGGCUUGCUUAGGGGUCUAAGCGGUGGGCCUUAUGCAGAUCAGACAGGGAUGGCAGGCAGAGCCUGUGCAGACAGUGCGGGCUACCGUAGGGCAACAGCGAAGGGAUAUGGCUGGAGAGGCGGGAUAGGGGCCGCGUGGAAAGGGUGGGCUUUAUGUAGAGAAGCCGGGAGUGGGCGGAGCUUCGUGCAGAACA
rnacentral:sRNA from 1 species